CCUACGGGAGGCAGCAGUGAGGAAUAUUGGUCAAUGGACGAAAGUCUGAACCAGCCAAGUAGCGUGAAGGAUGACUGCCCUAUGGGUUGUAAACUUCUUUUAUAUGGGAAUAAAAUGUUCCACGUGUGGGAUUUUGUAUGUACCAUAUGAAUAAGGAUCGGCUAACUCCGUGCCAGCAGCCGCGGUAAUACGGGGGAUCCGAGCGUUAUCCGGAUUUUUUUGGUUUAAAGGGAGCGUAGGUGGGUUUUUAAGUCAGUUGUGAGAGUUUGGGGCUUAAACGUAAAAUUGCAGUUGAAACUGGCAGUCUUGAGUACAGGAGAGGUGGGCGGAAUUCGUGGUGUAGCGGUGAAAUGCUUAGAUAUCACGAAGAACUCCGAUUGCGAAGGCAGCUUACUAAACUGCCACUGACAUUGAUGCUCGAAAGUGUGGGUAUCAAACAGGAUUAGAUACCCUGGUAGUC
rnacentral:rRNA from 1 species